AAAUGCGAUACGUAGUGUGAAUUGCAGAAUUCAGUGAAUCAUCGAAUCUUUGAACGCACAUUGCGCCCUUUGGUAUUCCAAAGGGCAUGCCUGUUCGAGCGUCAUUUGUACCCUCAAGCUUUGCUUGGUGUUGGGCGUGUUUUGUCUUUGGCUCGCCCAAAGACUCGCCUUAAAACGAUUGGCAGCCGGCCUACUGGUUUCGCAGCGCAGCACAUUUUUGCGCUUGCAAUCAGCAAAAGAGGACGGCAAUCCAUCAAGACUCCUUCUCACGUUUGACCUCGGAUCAGGUAGGGAUACCCGCUGAACUUAAGC
rnacentral:misc_RNA from 1 species